rnacentral:rRNA from 1 species
GAUGAACGCUGGCGGCGUGCCUAAUACAUGCAAGUCGAGCGAACAGACGAGGAGCUUGCUCCUCUGACGUUAGCGGCGGACGGGUGAGUAACACGUGGAUAACCUACCUAUAAGACUGGGAUAACUUCGGGAAACCGGAGCUAAUACCGGAUAAUAUAUUGAACCGCAUGGUUCAAUAGUGAAAGACGGUUUUGCUGUCACUUAUAGAUGGAUCCGCGCCGCAUUAGCUAGUUGGUAAGGUAACGGCUUACCAAGGCAACGAUGCGUAGCCGACCUGAGAGGGUGAUCGGCCACACUGGAACUGAGACACGGUCCAGACUCCUACGGGAGGCAGCAGUAGGGAAUCUUCCGCAAAGGGCGAAAGCCUGACGGAGCAACGCCGCGUGAGUGAUGAAGGUCUUCGGAUCGUAAAACUCUGUUAUUAGGGAAGAACAAAUGUGUAAGUAACUAAGCACGUCUUGACGGUACCUAAUCAGAAAGCCACGGCUAACUACGUG